UAAUAAAGAUCACUAGGAGGCUGGAGGCUACCUGAAACUGUCAGGAGACACAGGGAGACUACUACCAGGCAGAGCUGGAGGCAGCGAGAUCCUCCAUGGGGGUUCCUGAACAGUGACUGCCGAAGCAAAGCAUAUCUCUCCUGGAGGAGGGAGAAGCCUAGGACAAAACAAAUGUUUCUUGUGGUUUUAUGAACAUCCUGGAUCACCACUGUCCGUUCAUGAAAUUCAUAAUGAAGAGGCAUACGAUUGUUAAACCCACAUGGCGGAAGCAUGUAUGGAACAGAAGGAUGGAUGAUUGGCAUUACACAGGAUCUAGAAUUAUGCAAGUUUCCGGGUCUGUCUGCAAGGGAGAGUCUCGAUUAUGUUAGUUGAAAUGGGAAGAUCCACCCACACGGAUGGCGCUACAGGCUGGAGUGGAGGCUGCAUAAAAAGAAAAGAGCGAGCUGAGCUUCCGAGUCUGUUUCUCUCUGCUUCCCGGUUACAGAUCCUGUGUGACCGGCCGCUCCAGGCGCUUGCUGCCUUGACCUCCCUACCCUGACCGUCUGUACCUAACACUGCGGGUGAAGAUAAACCUUUCUUGAGUUGU